GUCCGCCAGAAAAUUACGAGCGAAAGCCUAAAACUCAAAAGACUUGACGGUGUCCCAACCUACCUAGAGGAGCCUGUUCCAUAAUCGACAACCCACGUUAUACCUAACCACCUUUAGACAUUACAGCCUAUAUACCGCCGUCGCACAGCCUACCUUUCAAAAGAACAUAAGUAGGCUAAAUAGUAAAAUACUAAUAAGUCAGGUCAAGGUGUAGCUCAUAAGGUGGAGGAAAUGGGCUACAUUAUUUAUAUUAAAUUAUACGAACUAAAUCACUGAAAAAGAAAAUGAAGGCGGAUUUAGCAGUAAUUUAAACAAGAAAAUUUAAAUUAA
rnacentral:rRNA from 1 species